rnacentral:rRNA from 1 species
CCUACGGGAGGCAGCAGUGGGGAAUAUUGGACAAUGGGCGCAAGCCUGAUCCAGCAAUGCCGCGUGAGUGAAGAAGGCCUUCGGGUUGUAAAGCUCUUUUGUCGGGGAAGAAACGGUGGGGGCUAAUAUCUCCUACUAAUGACGGUACCUGAAGAAUAAGCACCGGCUAACUACGUGCCAGCAGCCGCGGUAAUACGUAGGGUGCAAGCGUUAAUCGGAAUUACUGGGCGUAAAGCGUGCGCAGGCGGUUUUGUAAGUCUGUCGUGAAAGCCCCGGGCUCAACCUGGGAAUUGCGAUGGAGACUGCAAGGCUUGAAUCUGGCAGAGGGGGGUAGAAUUCCACGUGUAGCAGUGAAAUGCGUAGAGAUGUGGAGGAACACCGAUGGCGAAGGCAGCCCCCUGGGUCAAGAUUGACGCUCAUGCACGAAAGCGUGGGGAGCAAACAGGAUUAGAUACCCUGGUAGUCCACGCCCUAAACGAUGUCUACUAGUUGUCGGGUUUUAAUUAACUUGGUAACGCAGCUAACGCGUGAGUAGACCGCCUGGGGAGUACGGUCGCAAGNUUAAAACUUCAAAGGAAUUGACGGNNGNGAGNGCGAGCGACGACGAGGAGAGG